GACGGUACCUGACUAAGAAGCACCGGCUAAAUACGUGCCAGCAGCCGCGGUAAUACGUAUGGUGCAAGCGUUAUCCGGAUUUACUGGGUGUAAAGGGAGCGUAGACGGAUGGGCAAGUCUGAUGUGAAAACCCGGGGCUCAACCCCGGGACUGCAUUGGAAACUGUUCAUCUAGAGUGCUGGAGAGGUAAGUGGAAUUCCUAGUGUAGCGGUGAAAUGCGUAGAUAUUAGGAGGAACACCAGUGGCGAAGGCGGCUUACUGGACAGUAACUGACGUUGAGGCUCGAAAGCGUGGGGAGCAAACAGGAUUAGAUACCCUGGUAGU
rnacentral:rRNA from 1 species